rnacentral:rRNA from 1 species
GAUUAAGUUAUUAAGGGCGCACGGUGGAUGCCUUGGCACUAGAAGCCGAUGAAGGACGUUACUAACGACGAUAUGCUUUGGGGAGCUGUAAGUAAGCUUUGAUCCAGAGAUUUCCGAAUGGGGAAACCCAGCAUGAGUUAUGUCAUGUUAUCGAUAUGUGAAUACAUAGCAUAUCAGAAGGCACACCCGGAGAACUGAAACAUCUUAGUACCCGGAGGAAGAGAAAGA